GACGUAGGGCGCAAGCGUUAUCCGGAAUUAUUGGGCGUAAAGAGCUCGUAGGCGGUUUGUCGCGUCUGCCGUGAAAGUCCGGGGCUCAACUCCGGAUCUGCGGUGGGUACGGGCAGACUAGAGUGAUGUAGGGGAGACUGGAAUUCCUGGUGUAGCGGUGAAAUGCGCAGAUAUCAGGAGGAACACCGAUGGCGAAGGCAGGUCUCUGGGCAUUAACUGACGCUGAGGAGCGAAAGCAUGGGAGCGAACAGG
rnacentral:rRNA from 1 species